rnacentral:rRNA from 1 species
GAUGAACGCUGGCGGCGUGCUUAACACAUGCAAGUCGAACGGAAAGGCUCCUGCUUGCAGGGGUACUCGAGUGGCGAACGGGUGAGUAACACGUGGGUGAUCUGCCCUGCACUUCGGGAUAAGCCUGGGAAACUGGGUCUAAUACCGGAUAGGACGAUGGUUUGGAUGCCAUUGUGGAAAGUUUUUCGGUGUGGGAUGAGCUCGCGGCCUAUCAGCUUGUUGGUGGGGUAAUGGCCUACCAAGGCGUCGACGGGUAGCCGGCCUGAGAGGGUGUACGGCCACAUUGGGACUGAGAUACGGCCCAGACUCCUACGGGGGGCAGCAGUGGGGAAUAUUGCAAAAGGGGGGGAACCCGGAUGCAGGGCCGCCGGGUGGGGGAGGCCGGCCUUCGGGUUGUAAACUCCUUUCGCUGGGGACGAAGCGCAAGGGACGGGACCUGGAGAAGAAGCCCCGGCUAAUUACGU